AUCGCCAUAUCACGUUGGUAACACCGAUCAUCUUCCGAACACCGAAGUUAUACAACGUUAGGCCUGGCUAGUAUUUGCUAACAACGGCGUUCCGCAAGGAUCAAUUUUUAUGAGU